ensembl:lncRNA
CCACCGCGCCACGACGGGAACUGCAGGCCCUGCUUCUUCACCCGGACGUUCUGCGACCCUCCUCCGGGCAGUUCGCUGACCGCCCUCUGGGGACCCUGCCCCCGGGUCCUGCAGGCCAGCGCUGAUGCCUCGCGGCUCGCGGAGGCAGGAGGGCUGCGCGGCCCCCCGCCCGGCCCUGCGGUGACGGCCGGCGCCGGCCCGGGCAAGGCGUCCGCUCCCCGUGCCCUCGCUCGGGCUGCGGCGGGACGGCAGGCCGGCUGCCCCCAGGGUCGGAGGCGGCGGCGCUGCCCGGGCCUGGUUCCCGCCGGCAGGGCACGAGCGGAGGCGGACGGGAGCCAGGGCCCCGCGUGGAGGACGCAGGCGCCCGGCGGAGCCGCCCUCCUCCGGGGAGCCCGCCGGGAGCCGCCGCCGCCAGGAAGCCCCCCCCGCCGCCCAAGGACGGGCGCUGCCCGCGUCCGGCCCGGAAGCCCCGCUGGCCACCGGGAGCCCAGCGCUGGCCCGGCGCCCGGCCGGCGGCGGGGGCUCCUCGGGCAGGAAAGCGGCUGCGAGGCGGGGGGCCCGACGCCCACGCUCGAUUCUAGACGCGUCCGCGGCUCUCCCUGCUGCUCUCUGGGCGCAGCCUCCGUCUGCGAGGCGGGGAGGCCGGGCUCCAGGGCCGCCUCUCCCAGGCGCUGGCCGGUGCCCAGCCCGGGGCGGCCAGGCCAAAGCGGGCUGGGCUCGGGCCAGGCCCUCGGGGCCGCGGGGCGCCCGCCUCGCACACAAGAUGGCGGAGCGGCGGCCAUUUUGUGCGGCGCCGGGAGGGCGGGGGCGGGAGGCCGGGAGGACGAAAAGAACGGGGGCGGGAGGACGGGGAGGACGGAGAGGGUGGGAGCGGGAGGACGGCGACAGGAGGACGGUGAGGGUGGGAGCGGAGGACGGGGCGGGAGGACGGCGACGGGAGGACGGAGAGGUGGGACGGAGGACGGAGAGGGUGGGACGGGAGGACGGGAGGGUGGGGACGGGAGGACGGGAGGACGGAGAGGACGGGGGCGGCAGGACGGGAGGACGGGGGCGGGAGGACGCAGAGGGUGGGAGCGGGAGGACGGGGGCGGAGGACGGCGACGGGAGGACGGGGAGGUGGGGACGGGAGGACGGGGCGGCGGGACGGGAGGACGGGGCGGCGGGGACGGGAGGACGGGGGCGGCGGGGACGGGGGCGGGGGCGGGAGGACGGAGAGGACGGGAGCGGGAGGGCGGGAGGACGAAAAAACGGGGGCGGGAGGACGAGGAGAACGGAGAGGAUGGGGGCGGAAGAACGGGGAGGGUGGGGGCGGGAGGACGGGAGGACGAGGAGGGCGGACGAGGAGAGCCGGGAGGACGGGGGCGGGAGGACCAAGACGGGCCGAGGGGAGGCCACAGAGGGCGGACGAGGAGGGCAGGGCGGAUGGGGGCCGGAGGGCGGGGAGGACGGAGGCGGGGAGGAUGGAGGCCGGAGGCCGGAGGCGGGAGGGCCGGGAGCAGCAGCAGCAGCAGCAGGAGGAUCAGGAAGGAGGAGGGUGACGCCGGCUUCGGAAGCACGCCCACCACGGCACCAGGGCCUGGAGGCCUGGGCCAGGGACGUGGGCAGCGUCCUCUCCAGAACCUUCCUCCUGUUGUCCCAGAGCCGCAGACCAGGGAUGCGGGAACAGCCAGCCCAGCUGACCCCGUGGUCCAGGCCGGCCCCUCCUUCCUGCCCCGGGUGAGGGGACAGGGCAGGCAGCAAGGGACACGGAGCAGGGGGGAGCCCCACUCCAGGACACGUGGCUGCAACCGAGGCCCUUGCCUGACGGCGCCAGGUCAGCCACACCAGCACCAGCCACUUCUCCAGCCUCAGGGCUCCUGUCCUGCCUGCCUGGGUCAUGUCCCCACCUCCUCUGGACGGAAGGUCCAGGUUCCGGUGCCCCAGCAGAAGCUCAGAGGCCAGGCACAGACCAGCAGCACCCCCUGGGGCGCUGGGUCCAGCCACCGGCCACCCCUCCCAGCCUUCGCGGAGAAAAUCCAGGAUGGAAACCAGUCCCGCUCUAAAGACGGGCAGACCGGCUGGGGCGGCGCCAUGCACUGGUGCUGGUGGCGGCCAGCAGCGGGGCCCCUGAGUCAGGGGAAAGGCUACUCACGCACCUGGGGCACGGGGGCCUCGUGCGUUGACGGAGAUGGGCAGGUCCAGAGCCGAGCAGGUCCAGGGCCGAGCUGGCCUGUGUCACGGAACAGAAGAGUGAGUCAGGAGGGAGCCCACGUCUUUUCUACCGGGGUGGGGGCCUGUCUCGGUGACACAGCGUGGCACAGAGGACAGCAGCCACCGUCCCCAUAG